rnacentral:rRNA from 1 species
UGCCAGCAGCCGCGGUAAUACGUAGGUGGCAAGCGUUGUCCGGAUUUACUGGGCGUAAAGGGAGCGUAGGCGGAUCUUUAAGUGGGAUGUGAAAUACUCGGGCUCAACCUGGGGGCUGCAUUCCAAACUGGAGAUCUAGAGUACAGGAGGGGAGAGUGGAAUUCCUAGUGUAGCGGUGAAAUGCGUAGAGAUUAGGAAGAACACCAGUGGCGAAGGCGACUCUCUGGACUGUAACUGACGCUGAGGCUCGAAAGCGUGGGGAGCAAACAGGAUUAGAUA